GCCUAGUUAGCUUAGUUGAUAGUGCGUCUGCCUUGUAAGCGCUAGGCCGCGGGUUCGAUUCCCGCUCGAGGCG
rnacentral:tRNA from 1 species